AUAGUCAUAUGCUUGUCUCAAAGAUUAAGCCAUGCAUGUCUAAGUAUAAGCAACUAUACGGUGAAACUGCGAAUGGCUCAUUAAAUCAGUUAUCGUUUAUUUGAUAGUACCUUACUACAUGGAUAACCGUGGUAAUUCUAGAGCUAAUACAUGCUAAAAACCUCGACUUCGGAAGGGGUGUAUUUAUUAGAUAAAAAACCAAUGCCUUCGGGGCUCCUUGGUGAAUCAUAAUAACUUAACGAAUCGCAUGCCUUCGCCGGCGAUGGUUCAUUCAAAUUUCUGCCCUAUCAACUUUCGAUGGUAGGAUAGUGCCUACCAUUAUCAACGGGUAACGGGGAAUGGGGCGGGGGCGGCGGGCCGGGCGCGGGGCGCGGCGGGCCCCCCCCCCCCCCCCCCGGGGGCGGGCGGGGGGCCCCCCCCCCCGCCGAGGGGGGGGGCGGGUCCACCCCGCCCCGCCCGCGGCCCCCGUUAUGUUCCGCGCCCGCGCGCGUGUGUCUUUAUCUCCCCUCCCCCCCCGCGUGGGUGUUUUUUUUCUUCCCGUACCCUCUCGUGUGGUUUAUAUCAAUACUAAUACUGUUUUUCGCUCCCCUUUUUUUUUUGUUUUUUGCUUUUUUUUUCUUUAUUUUUUUAUUAAUCAU
rnacentral:rRNA from 1 species